AUUACCAAUCUCUUCCUUUGCAUCUUGCUUAUAUGCCAAAGCAGUGAAUAUAGACUGCUUAUUCUUCCAUAAUCCCAACAUUUCAGCUUCCACCUUGUUCCAAAUUUUAGCACAUCUUACUGAAGUACUAAACUCAUAAUCACCAAUUCAUUUCAAACCAUAUAACUCAUACUCAGCAUCCAAUGUAAUAUUACACGUCAUCUCACAAAACAAUAUCUUUGUAGAAACACAUAAUGGGUACCCAGCAGAUAUGCCAAUACAGAAAUGACAUUUAUGGGCACACAACUACACACUCUGUCUCCCUCCUAGGAAACACGGAUAGACACAAUAUAAAAGCAAUCUUAAACUAACACCUCCAAAUCUCCAACUAUUCUUGGCCAAAACGCUAGUAUUCAACAACUAAUAAAACAAUUAUUUGCUAGGUUAUUUGGCUGUCAUUCUUAUCAGUAUCACUAGACUGUGACAAACUGAUUCACAUAUAAUUUAAAACAAUACAGCAACAUAUAAAUUAAACUACUUUCAAGUUAAACUGCACACUUAUCACACAUUAUCACAGUCACCAUUUACACAGAAUAAACAGUUAACAGCUG